rnacentral:rRNA from 1 species
UGGGGAAUAUUGCACAAUGGGCGAAAGCCUGAUGCAGCGACGCCGCGUGAGGGAUGACGGCCUUCGGGUUGUAAACCUCUUUCAGUAGGGACGAAGCGCAAGUGACGGUACCUGCAGAAGAAGCACCGGCUAACUACGUGCCAGCAGCCGCGGUAAUACGUAGGGUGCGAGCGUUGUCCGGAAUUACUGGGCGUAAAGAGCUCGUAGGCGGUUUGUCACGUCGUCUGUGAAAUCCUAGGGCUUAACCCUGGACGUGCAGGCGAUACGGGCUGACUUGAGUACGACAGGGGAGACUGGAAUUUCUGGUGUAGCUGUGGAAUGCACAGAUAUAAGGAAGAACACCGAUGGCGAAGGCAGGUCUCUGGGUAGUAACUGACGCUGAGGAGCGAAAGCAUGGGUAGCGAACAGG